rnacentral:lncRNA from 1 species
GUGGAAACAGAAGCUGUGGUAGCUGAAGAAGUUUGGUCCACCUGGCUUGUUAGGAAUGCUGCCUGACAGCCACACACGUAGGUUUAAUAAGAAAGCAGUAUUACAUUUUCUACUAGCACUCCAUCAUCAAGAUCUGACUCUUUGCAAAACCUGGGGGCCCCUGGAACUCUCCUCUCCGCGUUCUCACUGUCCACUUUGAUAGGUGGAAUAUGCGUUUCAAGUAUCCCCUGGAAUUACAUGAGGCUUGGUCCCUUGUUAAAGGAAAGCAGGUUACGAAGAUAUGGGGUUGGAGACAGGAUGCCUUCUCAGUAGCCAUGAAGUUGACCCUUGCUUGACUCAUAAAGAAAACUGGACCUGAGACUGCUUCUUAAUCUCAAAGCCCUUGGGCUUCAUUCCCUGUUUGUCUGCUCAGAUGUCCCCUCUUACACCAAAUUUCUACCAAGCUACCUGUUCCUUGGAGAUUCUGCUCGGAGGCCUGGGUCUCUCACCACAGAUGUCAAUAUGUGUUGGGCUGGUAGCCACCUCUCCUGGGUUCUGCCGCUAAACGUACUCCAGGUGGCCCAGCCUUCUCAAAUAUCACAGUUGACAAAGAAGUGGAUGUCUCUAGAGUGCAUCUAGGACCAUCUUUCAGCAUCCUAUUGUUGGAAAUGAAGUUGGGGACACCUGCUGAGACACAAAAGCAGCUGAAGUCUACCCAACCAUGGAUCGUGGCAGCUCAUGCUCACAAGGGCAUUUGGGGCCCCCCAAAAUGGCAAGGGCUGUGAUUAGCAGACCUCCGCUCUCACCACAGUCUCACCGAGGUGCCGUAACAGCCGCCCUACAGACGUCCUGCCACCGCUCUGUUCCUCGACCCACAGUUCAUCCUCCACUCGGCACUAGACGGACCCUGGUCUAUUGGUCUUUAUUCCUCCGCGUCAAACCUUCCGCCACCCUCCCCUUGCCAUUUUGCCUUGGAAGGCUGGAGUCUGACACACAGGCUCCUCGGAAAGCUGCAACAUCAGGGAGGAAGACAGCCUCCCGCACGACGAGUCCUCCUGCCUCGAAGAGGCUGGAAGCAGGACCCGGAGCGGGAGGGUGCACGCCGGUCACGGGCCGACUGAGUCUGCGGGGAGCAGGCCCUCCAUCUGAUGCUCCAGGGAUGACGCGGAGAAAUGGCAGAGGGAACUAGCCUGGCGAGCCAAAUGUCUGCAAGACAUAAUAUUUUUAGAGCGCAAUUAUGAGUAGGCCGGUAGGUACAAUGGCCGGCGUGGUUUACUGUAAUCCGCACUGAGCCAGAUCAGGAGAGCAAGGCUGUUCCAGCUCCGCCCCUAACCAGGGCUGUGCCCUCAGCCAAGUCUCUGGCUCUCGGGACUUCUGUUUGUUCCCGAGUGAAAAGUGAGGGGAGUCCUCCCCCACACUGCUGAUAAUCAGAAUUAACGGGGAAUUUUUAAAAAGACAGACUCCUGGACCCCACCCAGAAUUUACUGGAUGGGAGGAGAUUAUAUGUGUGUGUUCACU